AGUGAACGCUGGCGGUAGGCCUAACACAUGCAAGUCGAACGGCAGCACAGUAAGAGCUUGCUCUUACGGGUGGCGAGUGGCGGACGGGUGAGGAAUACAUCGGAAUCUACUUUUUCGUGGGGGAUAACGUAGGGAAACUUACGCUAAUACCGCAUACGACCUACGGGUGAAAGCAGGGGAUCUUCGGACCUUGCGCGAUUGAAUGAGCCGAUGUCGGAUUAGCUAGUUGGCGGGGUAAAGGCCGACCAAGGCGACGAUCCGUAGCUGGUCUGAGAGGAUGAUCAGCCACACUGGAACUGAGACACGGCCCAGACUCCUACGGGAGGCAGCAGUGGGGAAUAUUGGACAAUGGGCGCAAGCCUGAUCCAGCCAUACCGCGUGGGUGAAGAAGGCCUUCGGGUUGGAAAGCCCUUUUGUUGGGAAAGAAAAGCAGCAGGUUAAUACCCCGCUGUUCUGACGGUACCCAAAGAAUAAGCACCGGCUAACUUCGUG
rnacentral:rRNA from 1 species